rnacentral:misc_RNA from 1 species
GCGAGUGUCAAACUCCAUAACCCACUGUGAACCUACCUGUUCGUUGCCUCGGCGGGCAGCCCCAGGGCGGGGCCCAGGCCACUACGGUGGCCCGCCGGAGGGUUCCAACACUCUUGUUUCAGCGGUAUUCUGAGUCAGAAGACAAAUAAUCA